rnacentral:rRNA from 2 species
GCCUCGUGAAUUCAUCUCCGGGGGUAGAGCACUGUUUCGGCUAGGGGGCCAUCCCGGCUUACCAACCCGAUGCAAACUGCGAAUACCGGAGAAUGUUAUCACGGGAGACACACGGCGGGUGCUAACGUCCGUCGUGAAGAGGGAAACAACCCAGACCGCCAGCUAAGGUCCCAAAGUCAUGGUUAAGUGGGAAACGAUGUGGGAAGGCCCAGACAGCCAGGAUGUUGGCUUAGAAGCAGCCAUCAUUUAAAGAAAGCGUAAUAGCUCACUGGUCGAGUCGGCCUGCGCGGAAGAUGUAACGGGGCUAAACCAUGCACCGAAGCUGCGGCAGCGACACUGUGUGUUGUUGGGUA